UGGUUCGGGAUAACCGGCCGAAAGGCUGGCUAAUACCGGAUAACGUCACCGCACACAAGUUCGGUGACCAAAGGAGGCGUAAGCUUCCGCCGUUGGAUGGGCCCGCGUACCAUUAGCUAGUUGGUAGGGUAACGGCCUACCAAGGCUACGAUGGUUAGCUGGUCUGAGAGGACGAUCAGCCACACUGGAACUGAGACACGGUCCAGACUCCUACGGGAGGCAGCAGUGGGGAAUAUUGCGCAAUGGGGGCAACCCUGACGCAGCGACGCCGCGUGAGCGAUGAAGGCCUUCGGGUCGUAAAGCUCUGUCAGGUGGGAAGAAACCUUCGCGGGUGAAUAAUCCGCGGAAUUGACGGUACCACCAGAGGAAGCACCGGCUAACUCCGUGCCAGCAGCCGCGGUAACACGGAGGGUGCGAGCGUUGUUCGGAAUUACUGGGCGUAAAGGGCGCGCAGGCGGUCCGGUCAGUCGGAAGUGAAAUCCGUCGGCUCAACCGGCGAAUUGCUUCCGAUACUACCGGACUUGAGUACGGGAGAGGAGAGCGGAAUUCCCAGUGUAGAGGUGAAAUUCGUAGAUAUUGGGAAGAACACCGGUGGCGAAGGCGGCUCUCUGGACCGAUACUGACGCUGAGGCGCGAAAGCGUGGGGAGCGAACAGGAUUAGAUACCCUGGUAGUCCACGCUGUAAACUUUGAGUACUAGGUGUAGGGGGUACCGACCCCCCCUGUGCCGCAGCAAACGCAUUAAGUACUCCGCCUGGGGACUACGGCCGCAAGGCUAAAACUCAAAGGAAUUGACGG
rnacentral:rRNA from 1 species